rnacentral:rRNA from 1 species
UACGUAGGGUGCAAGCGUUGUCCGGAAUUUAUUGGGCGUAAAGAGCUCGUAGGCGGUCAGUCGCGUCUGCUGUGGAAACUCGGGGCUUAACUCCGGGCCUGCAGUGGGUACGGGCUGACUAGAGUGCGGUAGGGGAGACUGGAAUUCCGUGGUGUAGGCGGUGAAAUGCGCAGAUAUCAGGAGGAACACCGGUGGCGAAGGCGGGUCUCUGGGCCGUAACUGACGCUGAGGAGCGAAAGCGUGGGGAGCGAACAGG